rnacentral:rRNA from 1 species
AUUGAACGCUGGCGGCAGGCCUAACACAUGCAAGUCGAGCGGUAGAGAGAAGCUUGCUUCUCUUGAGAGCGGCGGACGGGUGAGUAAUGCCUAGGAAUCUGCCUGAUAGUGGGGGAUAACGUCCGGAAACGGACGCUAAUACCGCAUACGUCCUACGGGAGAAAGUGGGGGCUCUUCGGACCUCACGCUAUCAGAUGAGCCUAGGUCGGAUUAGCUAGUUGGUGAGGUAAUGGCUCACCAAGGCGACGAUCCGUGACUGGUCUGAGAGGAUGAUCAGUCACACUGGAACUGAGACACGGUCCAGACUCCUACGGGAGGCAGCAGUGGGGAAUAUUGGACAAUGGGCGAAAGCCUGAUCCAGCCAUGCCGCGUGUGUGAAGAAGGUCUUCGGAUUGUAAAGCACUUUAAGUUGGGAGGAAGGGUCGUUACCUAAUACGUGGCGAUUUUGACGUUACCGACAGAAUAAGCACCGGCUAACUCUGUGCCAGCCGCCGCGGUAACAC